GCCGAUGUAGCUCAGCCGGCAGAGCAGCUGAUUCGUAAUCAGCAGGUCGGCGGUUCGAUCCCGCCCAUCGGCUCCA
rnacentral:tRNA from 1 species